AGAGUUGUAUCCUGGCUCAGGACGAACGCUGGCGGCGUGCUUAACACAUGCAAGUCGAGCGAUGAAGUUCCUUCGGGAAUGGAUUAGCGGCGGACGGGUGAGUAACACGUGGGUAACCUGCCUCAUAGAGGGGAAUAGCCUUUCGAAAGGAAGAUUAAUACCGCAUAAGAUUGUAGUAUCGCAUGAUACAGCAAUUAAAGGGG
rnacentral:rRNA from 1 species